rnacentral:rRNA from 1 species
CGUCUCAGUUCGGACUGUAGUCUGCAACCCGACUACACGAAGCUGGAAUCGCUAGUAAUCGCGGAUCAGAAUGCCGCGGUGAAUACGUUCCCGGGUCUUGUACACACCGCCCGUCACACCAUGGGAGUCGGUAACGCCCGAAGCCAGUGACCCAACCUUAGGGAGGGAGCUGUCGAAGGCGGGACGGAUAACUGGGGUGAAGUCGUAACAAGGUAGC